UACGGGGGGGGGCAAGCGUUGUUCGGAAUUACUGGGCGUAAAGGGUGCGUAGGCGGCGCGGUAAGUCGGGUGUGAAAUCUCGGGGCUUAACUCCGAAACUGCAUUCGAUACUGCGGUGCUUGAGGACUGGAGAGGAGACUGGAAUUCAUGGUGUAGCAGUGAAAUGCGUAGAGAUCAUGAGGAAGACCAGUGGCGAAGGCGGGUCUCUGGACAGUUCCUGACACUGAGGCGCGAAGGCCAGGGGAGCAAACGGG
rnacentral:rRNA from 1 species